rnacentral:rRNA from 1 species
AACGAACGCUGGCGGCAGGCUUAACACAUGCAAGUCGAACGGUUCCUUCGGGGACAGUGGCAGACGGGUGAGUAACGCGUGGGAAUCUACCCAGUCCUACGGGAUAGCUCCGGGAAACUGGAAUUAAUACCGUAUACGCCCUUUUGGGGAAAGAUUUAUCGGGAUUGAAUGAGCCCGCGUAAGAUUAGCUAGUUGGUGGGGUAAUGGCCUACCAAGGCGACGAUCUUUAGCUGGUCUGAGGGGAUGAUCAGCCACACUGGGACUGAGACACGGCCCAGACUCCUACGGGAGGCAGCAGUGGGGAAUAUUGGACAAUGGGCGCAAGCCUGAUCCAGCCAUGCCGCGUGAGUGAUGAAGGCCUUAGGGUUGUAAAGCUCUUUCGGCGGGGACGAUAAUGACGGUACCCGCAGAAGAAGCCCCGGCUAACUUCGUGCCAGCCGCCGCGGUAAAAC